AGAGUUUGAUUCUGGCUCAGAACGAACGCUGGCGGCGUGGAUAAGACAUGCAAGUCGAACGAGAGAAUUGCUAGCUUGCUAAUAAUUCUCUAGUGGCGCACGGGUGAGUAACACGUGAGUAACCUGCCCCCGAGAGCGGGAUAGCCCUGGGAAACUGGGAUUAAUACCGCAUAGUAUCGAAAGAUUAAAGCAGCAAUGCGCUUGGGGAUGGGCUCGCGGCCUAUUAGUUAGUUGGUGAGGUAACGGCUCACCAAGGCGAUGACGGGUAGCCGGUCUGAGAGGAUGUCCGGCCACACUGGAACUGAGACACGGUCCAGACACCUACGGGUGGCAGCAGUCGAGAAUCAUUCACAAUGGGGGAAACCCUGAUGGUGUGACGCCGCGUGGGGGAAUGAAGGUCUUCGGAUUGUAAACCCCUGUCAUGUGGGAGCAAAUUAAAAAGAUAGUACCACAAGAGGAAGAGACGGCUAACUCUGUGCCAGCAGCCGCGGUAAUACAGAGGUCUCAAGCGUUGUUCGGAAUCACUGGGCGUAAAGCGUGCGUAGGCUGUUUCGUAAGUCGUGUGUGAAAGGCGCGGGCUCAACCCGCGGACGGCACAUGAUACUGCGAGACUAGAGUAAUGGAGGGGGAACCGGAAUUCUCGGUGUAGCAGUGAAAUGCGUAGAUAUCGAGAGGAACACUCGUGGCGAAGGCGGGUUCCUGGACAUUAACUGACGCUGAGGCACGAAGGCCAGGGGAGCGAAAGGGAUUAGAUACCCCUGUAGUCCUGGCAGUAAACGGUGCACGCUUGGUGUGCGGGGAAUCGACCCCCU
rnacentral:rRNA from 1 species